AGUUUACAACUCCCAAACCCCUGUGAACAUACCAAUUGUUGCCUCGGCGGAUCAGCCCGCUCCCGGUAAAACGGGACGGCCCGCCAGAGGACCCCUAAACUCUGUUUCUAUAUGUAACUUCUGAGUAAAACCAUAAAUAAAUCAAAACUUUCAACAACGGAUCUCUUGGUUCUGGCAUCGAUGAAGAACGCAGCAAAAUGCGAUAAGUAAUGUGAAUUGCAGAAUUCAGUGAAUCAUCGAAUCUUUGAACGCACAUUGCGCCCGCCAGUAUUCUGGCGGGCAUGCCUGUUCGAGCGUCAUUUCAACCCUCAAGCCCAGCUUGGUGUUGGGACUCGCGAGUUAAAUCGCGUUCCCCAAAUUGAUUGGCGGUCACGUCGAGCUUCCAUAGCGUAGUAGUAAAACCCUCGUUACUGGUAAUCGUCGCGGCCACGCCGUUAAACCCCAACUUCUGAAUGUUGACCUCGGAUCAGGUAUGAAUACCC
rnacentral:rRNA from 1 species